AUGGGGAUUAGUAUGAAAAUUUGC
rnacentral:miRNA from 1 species